CCUACGGGUGGCAGCAGUGGGGAAUAUUGCACAAUGGGGGAAACCCUGAUGCAGCGACGCCGCGUGAGUGAAGAAGUAUUUCGGUAUGUAAAGCUCUAUCAGCAGGGAAGAAAAUGACGGUACCUGAUUAAGAAGCCCCGGCUAACUACGUGCCAGCAGCCGCGGUAAUACGUAGGGGGCAAGCGUUAUCCGGAUUUACUGGGUGUAAAGGGGGCGUAGACGGCAGCACAAGUCAGGAGUGAAAUGCCGGGGCUUAACCCCGGGACUGCUUUGGAAACUGUGCAGCUAGAGUGCAGGAGAGGUAAGUGGAAUUCCGAGUGUAGCGGUGAAAUGCGUAGAUAUUAGGAGGAACACCAGUGGCGAAGGCGGAUUACUGGACUGUAACUGACGUUGAGGCUCGAAAGCGUGGGGAGCAAACAGGAUUAGAUACCCGGGUAGUC
rnacentral:rRNA from 1 species